rnacentral:misc_RNA from 1 species
GCCCUUGUUUCCAUCUCUCUUGCCUCGCGAUCAUGGCAGAAGAAGGAGAAGAUUCCAAAUUCAAUUCUCCCCAACCUCCUCCUUUUCUGGAGGUUGCCUGCAAAAGUUUGGGUAAAAUAAGCCGCUUUGCGGCUGGUACCAGGGCAGGAUUUGCAGUAUCUUUGAUAAACAGGAAGUUAGAAGCUGGAGCCCCUCUUGUUUCGCAUAUUGAAGCAGUUAAAGAUGGGGAGGAACCCAUAAGUUUUGGGCCUGAUGCGAUUCUUGUGGAUUAUAGCAAUGGCUGGAAGUUGCAGACUGUUACUGAGUUGGAUUUUGGUGGUGUUAGAAAAGCAGAAAGCAUUCGUCUGAUUCCAACACAAGCCCCUAAUUUAAUUUUUGAAGGCAGACGUCCAGCAAAGAUAGUUCCUAAAUCAGGAGUCAGUUUUUUGUACAUUGCAAAGAUAUUACUUGCCUUUGUUUUGAUUUUUGUACUUGGUGCAAUUUUUACAGUGGCCCUGGAGAAUCUUCCAAGAUUGAUACUGUUAAUUAACUCGUAUACUAAUUGAUAUUCCUGAACGUAUAUAUAUGGAAAUGGGAUGUAUCAAAACAAAGCUUCAAAUACUCUUAAAACAUCUUCUACCCACUUUGUGAGGGUUAUCAAUGAGUCAAGGC